ACGACCUCAGCUCAGGCGAGAACACCCAUUGAGUUUAAGCAUAUAAUUAAGUAGAGUAAAAGAAACUUACAAGCAUUCCCCUAGUAGUGGCGAGCGAACCGGGAAGAGCCGAACAUGAAAAUGGGGCAGUAGUGUCACCUGAAUUGUAGUGUGUAGAAGCAUCCUCAGUGGCAAACCUAGGGCAAGUCCCUUGGAAGGGGGUGCCUAAGAGGGUGACAGCCCUGUCGGGCCAGGACCCUACCACAUCAUGAGGUGUUGUCCGCGAGUCAGGUUGUUUCAGAAUGUAACCCUAAUUGGGUGGUAAAUUCCAUCCAAGGCUAAAUACGAGCGAGCAACCAAUAUCAAACAAGUAUUGCAAAGGAAAGAUGAAAAGGAAUUUGAAAGGAGAGUUAAAGAGUGCUUAAAAUUGUUUGGAGGGAAGCAGAUGGAUGUUGUCGAUGCAUCUCGGUCGGAUGUGGAACAGGCUCAAGUUGGUCUGCCACUCGACUUCAGGUGCAAACCAACAUGGGUUGUUGCAUGAUCACAAGCACGGGUGGAUUACUACCUAUUCGUUUUCCAUUGUGGUGGUCGAGGAAUGAAGCGUGCACCCUUGUGGAGGGCCAUGUGCACCUACGCACUCGUUGUGUUGGUUGGCGGACUUUCCAUUCAACCUGUCUUGAAACACGGAGCAAGGAGUCUAACAUGUGUGCGAGUCAGAGGGUUUCAAAAAUUGUGAAGCACAGGGAAGCUGACGGGUGAGAUCCCUCUCUAGGGGGUGCAUCGUUAAUCUACCUUGAGCUUAUGCAAAGGGUUCGAGUGCGAUCACACCUGUUGGGACCCGAAAGAUGGUGAACUAUGCGUGAGCAAGGUGAAGCCAGAGGAAACUUUGGUGGGGGCUCAUAACAAUACUUACAUGAAAAUCGUUCGUCUAUCUUAGGUGUAGGGGCUAAAGACUAAUCAAACCAUCUAGUAGCUAGCUUCCUCUAAGGUUUCCCUUACGAUAGCUAGAGCUCACGUCUGAGUUUUAUUAGGUAAAGGAAAUGAUUAGAUGCAUCAGGGGCAUAAUUCUAUUGACCAAUUCUCCAACUUUAAAUAAGUAAGAGUGUCUGGCUACUCCACUGAGUCAUGUGAUGGAAUUAAGAGCUCUAAGUGGGCCAUUUUUGGUAAGCAAAACUAGCGAUGUGGGAUGAACCGAAAGUCAAGUUACUAUGUCGAAUUGCAAGCUAACCUAGAUCCCACAAAUGGUGUUGGUUGAUUAAGAUAGUAGGACAUUGGUCAUGGAAGUAGAAAUCUGCUAAGGAUUUUGUAACAACUCACAUACCAAAUCAAAUAGCCCCAAAAAUGGAUGGUGCUAAAGUGUGCACCGUAUACUCGACCAUUGGAGCAAUUUCCUUGCUUCAAUGAGUAGGAGGACAAGGGAGUUGUUGAGAAACCUUGGGCGUGAGCUUGGGUGGAUCGGCCCCCAGUGCAGAUCUUGGUGGUAGUAGAAAAUAUUCAAAUGAGAACUUGGAAGACUAAUGUGGGGAAAGGUUCCAUGUGAACAACACUUGGACAUGGGUUAGUCAAUCCUAAGAGAUAAGGAAGCCUUUUAUCAAGGGUGCACUCUACAUAAGCAUCAAAAGGGAAUCAAGUUAAUAUUCUCGAACCUAUACAUGGUGACGGGCGACAAUGUUAGGAAAUAUGGAGACAUCGUAGGGGGCCUCGGGAAGAGUUAUAUUUUAUUUUUAACAACUUUCCACCCUGGAAUUGGUUCACCUAGAGAUAGGGUCCAACAACUGGAAGAGCACCGAACGUCUUGCAGUGCUUGGUGUGCCCUCAGCGGCGCUUGAAAAUCUGGAGGAUUAAGUACUGUUCAUGCCGAGUCAUACUCAUAACCACAUCAGGUCUCUAAGGUGAACAACCUCUAGUUAAUAGAACCACAACCAAGGGAACGGGCUUGGCAGUAUCAGUGGGGAAAGAAGACCUUGUUGAGCUUGACUCUAGUUCGACUAUGUGAAAUGACUUAAGAGGUGUAGAAUAAGUGGGAGCCAUUUUCGGUGCAAGUGAAAUACCACUAAUUUUAAAGUUAUUUUACUUAUUCCAUGGGGCAGAGAGGGGGCACUACCCAUGUUUUUGGCAUUAAGUCAUGUUUCAGCAAGUUGAUCUGGGCAGAAGACAUUGUCAAGUGGGGAGUUUGUUUGGGGUGACACAUCUGUUAAAAGAUAAUGCAAGUGUCCUAAGAUGUGCUCAAUGAGAACAAAAAUAUUGUGUGGAACAAAAGGGUAAAAGAUCAUUUGAUUUUGAUUUUCAAUCCUUUAGAUUUACAAAAUUUGAAACUAAAGGUGUCAGAAAAGUUACCACAGGGAUAACUGGCUUGUGGCAUCCAAGUUCUCAUAGUGACGCUACUUUUUGAUCCUUCGAUGUCAGCUCUUCCUGUCAUUGUGAAGCAGAAUUCAACAAGUGUUGGAUUGUUCACCCACCAAUAGGGAACGUGAGAUGGGUUUAGACCUUUGUGAGACAGGUUAUUUUUACCCUACUCAUGAAUUGCACCACAAUAGUAAUUCAACUUAGUACGAGAGGAACCAUUGAUUCAGACAAUUGGUCAUCACGCUUGUUUGAAAAGCCAGUGGCCCGAAGCUACCAUGUGUUAGAUUAUGACUGAAUGCCUCUAAGUCAGAAUCCAUGCUAGAAGUAGUGAAUGUUAGUCUUCAACUGUAUCUCAACCUGUAGUAGGGGCAUCACUUUUUCACCCCUAGGGGCCCAUGUCAUUUGAAAAUCGUGACUGUGAAGCAUCUCGAUUAGGGCAGCUUUGAAGUUCAAUUCCAAACAAUCAUUGAGAAGAAU
rnacentral:rRNA from 1 species